UACGUAGGGGGCUAGCGUUGUCCGGAAUCAUUGGGCGUAAAGCGCACGUAGGCGGCCUGUUAAGUCGGAUGUGAAAUCCCUCGGCUCAACCGAGGACGUGCACCCGAAACUGGCGGGCUCGAGUAUGGAAGAGGGUCGCAGAAUUCCCGGUGUAGAGGUGAAAUUCGUAGAUAUCGGGAGGAAUACCAGUGGCGAAGGCGGCGACCUGGGCCAAUACUGACGCUGAGGUGCGAAAGCGUGGGGAGCAAACAGG
rnacentral:rRNA from 1 species